rnacentral:rRNA from 1 species
GUGGGGAAUAUUGGACAAUGGGCGAAAGCCUGAUCCAGCCAUGCCGCGUGUGUGAAGAAGGUCUUCGGAUUGUAAAGCACUUUAAGUUGGGAGGAAGGGCAGUAAGUUAAUACCUUGCUGUUUUGACGUUACCAACAGAAUAAGCACCGGCUAACUUCGUGCCAGCAGCCGCGGUAAUACGAAGGGUGCAAGCGUUAAUCGGAAUUACUGGGCGUAAAGCGCGCGUAGGUGGUUCAGCAAGUUGGAGGUGAAAUCCCCGGGCUCAACCGGGGAACUGCCUCCAAAACUACUGAGCUAGAGGACGGUAGAGGGUAGUGGAAUUUCCUGUGUAGCGGUGAAAUGCGUAGAUAUAGGAAGGAACACCAGUGGCGAAGGCGACUACCUGGACUGAUACUGACACUGAGGUGCGAAAGCGUGGGGAGCAAACAGGAUUAGAAACCCCGGUAGUCC